GUGGGGAAUAUUGGACAAUGGGCGAAAGCCUGAUCCAGCCAUGCCGCGUGUGUGAAGAAGGUCUUCGGAUUGUAAAGCACUUUAAGUUGGGAGGAAGGGCAGUAAGUUAAUACCUUGCUGUUUUGACGUUACCGACAGAAUAAGCACCGGCUAACUUCGUGCCAGCAGCCGCGGUAAUACGAAGGGUGCAAGUGUUAAUCGGAAUUACUGGGCGUAAAGCGCGCGUAGGUGGUUUUGUAAGUUGGAGGUGAAAUCCCCGGGCUCAACCUGGGAACUGCCUCCAAAACUGCAUGACUAGAGUACGGUAGAGGGUAGUGGAAUUUCCUGUGUAGCGGUGAAAUGCGUAGAUAUAGGAAGGAACACCAGUGGCGAAGGCGACUACCUGGACUGAUACUGACACUGAGGUGCGAAAGCGUGGGGAGCAAACAGGAUUAGAUACCCCUGUAGUCC
rnacentral:rRNA from 1 species